GGGGAAAGGAGGAAGGAAACGAACGAGGGGGAGGGAGGUCCCUGUUUUGGAGGAGCUAGGAGCGUUGCCGGCCCCUGAAGUGGAGCGAGAGGGAGGUGCUUCGCCGUUUCUCCUGCCAGGGGAGGUCCCGGCUUCCCGUGGAGGCUCCGGACCAAGCCCCUUCAGCUUCUCCCUCCGGAUCGAUGUGCUGCUGUUAACCCGUGAGGAGGCGGCGGCGGCGGCAGCGGCAGCGGAAGAUGGUGUUGCUGAGAGUGUUAAUUCUGCUCCUCUCCUGGGCGGCGGGGAUGGGAGGUCAGUAUGGGAAUCCUUUAAAUAAAUAUAUCAGACAUUAUGAAGGAUUAUCUUACAAUGUGGAUUCAUUACACCAAAAACACCAGCGUGCCAAAAGAGCAGUCUCACAUGAAGACCAAUUUUUACGUCUAGAUUUCCAUGCCCAUGGAAGACAUUUCAACCUACGAAUGAAGAGGGACACUUCCCUUUUCAGUGAUGAAUUUAAAGUAGAAACAUCAAAUAAAGUACUUGAUUAUGAUACCUCUCAUAUUUACACUGGACAUAUUUAUGGUGAAGAAGGAAGUUUUAGCCAUGGGUCUGUUAUUGAUGGAAGAUUUGAAGGAUUCAUCCAGACUCGUGGUGGCACAUUUUAUGUUGAGCCAGCAGAGAGAUAUAUUAAAGACCGAACUCUGCCAUUUCACUCUGUCAUUUAUCAUGAAGAUGAUAUUAACUAUCCCCAUAAAUACGGUCCUCAGGGGGGCUGUGCAGAUCAUUCAGUAUUUGAAAGAAUGAGGAAAUACCAGAUGACUGGUGUAGAGGAAGUAACACAGACACUCUUGCUUGCUCCUGCUUCCAGCAUGUCAUGUGCCUGCUCCCCCUUCACCUUCUGCCCAUGCUUAUAAGCUUCCUGAGACCUCUCUAGAAGCCAAGCGGAUGCCAGCACCAUGCUUCCUGUAAAGCCUGCAGAACGAUGAGCCAAUUAAAACUCUUUUCUUGAUAAAUUA
rnacentral:lncRNA from 1 species